AUCUCAAACGUGGUGGUCUAGUGUACACACGCACAAAUCUCACAUCUUGUAGCAAGGCUGCCAACAAGCCGUCAACAAGUUGUGUUCGCACUGCUUGUCCCAAGUUGUCAACAAGUUUAGAACAAGCUGUUAAAAUCUUGUGUCGUCAACCUUGUAACAUUCUUGUUAUGUCAUGACUGUAUCAGACUUGUUAGAACAAUCUUGUAGCAAGUCUGAUAAUGCCAUCAAGCUUGUUACAAGUUGUUAACAGCUUGUUCCAAACUUUUUACAACAACUGGGAACAAGCACAAUUUGUCGACAGCUUGUGAACAGAUUUGUAACAACUUGUUUGCAGAAUUGUAACAACUUGUGUAUUUUACGAGUGUAGGUAGUAUUCUACAAUAAGUCAUAAGAUGCCGUGGUUUGUGUCUGAACUGCACACGUAAAAAUGCCCAAGUUGUAACAAACCUGCAGCAGACUUGUAGCAAUGCUGUUCCAACAACUUGUCAACAGGAUGUGUUCGCACUGCUUGUUCCCAGCUUGUUGACAACUUGCUACAAGGUUGUUGAGCUCAACAUACUUAUUACAAGUUGUUCCAACAACUAGUUAUCGUCCUGCAAUUCAACAAUUUCUCAACAAGUUGUGAGUGACAACCUUGUAGCAACUUGAUAAAAUAACAGCAUUGUUACAACUUGUUGACAAGCUUGCUACAAACCUGUUGCGAACACAUCUUGUUGACAAGUUGUGAGAUUUUUACGUGUAUACUGUACCUGAAAAAAAGAUUAAAAUACUUCGAUAUUUCGACCGAAGGCUCUUAGUGAGGAAUUUAGUUGCAGAUUAGUCGAGAUUACAAUUAGAAAUUGCCGGACUAUUUUGUUUUAUUUUAUUUUAUUUUUUUAAUUACUUUUUAAGUAACUAUUAUCCAGGGUUCGUACAUGUGAGAAUGAGUGAAUUCAAGAAUAUUUCAAGGACAUUCAAGGCCAUGUACAGUAUCAGCAAAUUCAAUUAAGAACUAAAUAUUUACUGGGGGAAAAGGGGGUUAGAAAUCAGUAAAAUCUGACGUUCAAUUGUUCAAAACGCAACUUUAUUAAAAAGGAGUUUUAAACAGCUUUGUCAGAUAUGAACACAUGCAAAAUCAAUUCAACAAAAUGUCCGUUUUGAAUAUCAAACAAUUUCAGAAAAUAUCCAAAAACUAAAGCAAGAAAAAUCUAAGAACUUUCAAGUACAAAUAGACUUUUCCCCUGGCUUUUGAGUGAAAUUUUGAUCUAGACAAGUCUGGACAAAAAUUUCAUCACAGCUUGAAAGAGCAUCACAAAAUUAGUAAUAUUCCGAAGUUUCGUUGCGAAAUGUUGUCAGUAAAAUGCGGAUAAUAUGGCCUUGCGAAGUUUGCCGUUUUUCAGUCAUUUUGUAUUACAAAUGUCAAAUGGGAAAUUGAUAAUCAGUUUGAUCAUCUGAUUAUCAAUUUUCCGUGCGUAAUACAAAAUGACUGAAAAACGGCAAACUUCGCAAGGCCAUAUUAUCCGCAUUUUACAACAUUUCGCAACGAAACUUUGGAAUAUUACUAAUUUUGUGAUGCUCUUUCAAGCUGUGAUGAAAUUUUUGUCCAGGCUAGAUCUAUGACUUGUCUAGAUCAAAAUUUCACUCAUAAGGGGAAAGGUCUAUUCAAGGACCUUCAAGGCCUUGAAUUUUUGUUUUCAAAUUCAAGGACAUUCAAGUCUCGUACGAACCCUGUUUAUCUGACGUCAUGACCGCCUUUUGUUUUCCAAAACCAUACAGUAUUUCUUGUACAUUUGGCAAGUUUCCUGGCGGCCGUACACACGAACAAACAAAUUUUCAAAGCUGGCAUGUCCAGCUCUGGAACAAAGCUUCUUUGACAAGGAAAAAUCGUCAGGUUUUGCCGUACACGCGAGCAAAUGAAACUACUCAGGGAAAAAUAGCUCGUCUGUUCGGGGCUUUGCGAGAUGUAGUUAAAUUUGCGUUCUCCUGUAAGAGUCAACAUUCCUGAGGUUCACCACAAUCGUCCGCCCUGUAACUUUUAAUUGCUGACGCGGACUAAACAGGGGCGGAUCUAGCGUGGGGUGCAGGGGGUUGCGUACCCCACCUAGUAGUGUCUAGUACCCCCCAGAGAAGUCCAGCACCACCCUAAAACAAUCUGCUUGACCAUACAUUUUCUGCUUUUCGAAUAGCGAUUAGCGGAACUUCUACGUUUUCUUGAAAUGAUUUAACUGAUUUGUGAGCUCACGAGAAAAUACUCAGAAUGAUUUAGAUAUGUAAGCAUGUCGAGGUCAU